GACGAACGCUGGCGGCGUGCCUAAUACAUGCAAGUCGAGCGGAAGUUGGAGAGCUUGCUCUUCAACUUUAGCGGCGGACGGGUGAGUAACACGUGGGCAACCUGCCCUGCAGAUCGGGAUAACUCCGGGAAACCGGUGCUAAUACCGAAUAGUUUUCGCCACCUCCUGGUGGCGUACGGAAAGACGGUUUCGGCUGUCACUGCAGGAUGGGCCCGCGGCGCAUUAGCUAGUUGGUGAGGUAACGGCUCACCAAGGCGACGAUGCGUAGCCGACCUGAGAGGGUGAUCGGCCACAUUGGGACUGGGAAACGGCCCAGACUCCUACGGGAGGCAGCAGUGGGGAAUAUUGCACAAUGGGGGAAACCCUGAUGCAGCAACGCCGCGUGAGUGGCGAAGGUUUUCGGAUCGUAAAACUCUGUUGUGAGGGAAGAACAAGUACCAACUAACUACUGGUACCUUGACGGUACCUCACCAGAAAGCUACGGCUAACUACGUGCCAGCCGCCGCCGUAA
rnacentral:rRNA from 1 species